rnacentral:rRNA from 1 species
UGGGGAAUUUUGGGCAAUGGGCGAAAGCCUGACCCAGCAACGCCGCGUGAAGGAUGAAGUAUUUCGGUAUGUAAACUUCGAAAGAAUAGGAAGAAUAAAUGACGGUACUAUUUAUAAGGUCCGGCUAACUACGUGCCAGCAGCCGCGGUAAUACGUAGGGACCAAGCGUUGUUCGGAUUUACUGGGCGUAAAGGGCGCGUAGGCGGCAAUUCAAGUCAUCUGUGAAAUCUCCGGGCUUAACUCGGAACGGUCAGAUGAUACUGCUUUGCUAGAGUGCAGAAGGGGCAAUCGGAAUUCUUGGUGUAGCGGUGAAAUGCGUAGAUAUCAAGAGGAACACCUGAGGUGAAGACGGGUUGCUGGGCUGACACUGACGCUGAGGCGCGAAAGCCAGGGGAGCAAACGGGAUUAGAUACCCGAGUAGUCCCUGAGCGGGCUGGCAAGGCGCAU